GUUGUACAAGAUUUUUGCCUUGAUGUCUGUCUGCAAUGUAGUGUCACCUAAUUAGAAAACAUGACCACGAACUGUAUCCAGUUCUAACAAGCCAAAUGCUUUCCUCAGUUCCUGGGGCCCAGCUUAAAGGGGCUGACAACUACGGAAGAAGCCUUUUGCUUGGCAGAGUCCAUGAUGGUACCCAGAACCCAAGAUAAGACCAUGCUCAGAGAUCACCAACAUUUCUCAGAGUACACAGAGCUUUGCGGAAACAGCUCGCAUUACCCUCAUCACCACAUCCCAGCCCACAAAACAUGCAGAAACCCACUGCUUUACCAGAGGCCACAACUUGAACUGGAACUCCAGGUACCGCUGCAGAACCCUAGAGGCCAUGCCAGCACCCACAGCCCUAGAGGUCACCCAGGGUUUCAUAGUGAACCAGUAGAGUCACCUGUCACCAUAAACACAGGCCACCCAGGCCAGAAGAUCAGAAAGGAAAUAGAAACUAUGAAUAAAAAAACAUUAAGUAAGACAAAGGCAGAAAUCAGCACCUAAACUUAUAAUUACCACAAACCCAGAUGGCUAGAAGCCAGUGUGAGGACAAACAACAGCUUAGGCAAUGUGUCACCUCCAGAGUUUAGCUAUCUUACUAGAGCAAGCCCCGAGUCUUCCAACACAGCUGAAGCAGAAGUCAAAGACUUUGGAACCAACUAUAUGAAGGUGCUAGAGAUCCUUAAACAGGAAAUGAAUAGAUCCCUAAUGACAUUCAUGAAAAUGCAAACAAUUGGAGGAAAUCAAUACAUCUCUUAAAGGAAGCCAAUAUAAAUAAAUAAAUAAACAAACAAACAAACAAACAAACAACCAGAAAGGAAAUGAAUGAAACUGUUCCAAGACCUGGAAAAAAAUUGAAGAAAUAAAGAAAACACAAACUGAGGGAAUCCUGGCAUGUUAACAGGAACUACAGAUGCAAGCAUCGCCGAAAAAGUACAAGAGAGAAUCUCAGAUGUAGAAGGUAUGGUAGAAGAAAGUCAUACAGAAGUCAAAGAAAAUGUUCAUUCUAAAGAAUUCCUGGCAUAAAGCGUGGAGAAAAUCUGGGACACCAUGAAAAGACCAAGCCUAAGAAAGACAUGAAUAGAAGGAGAAGAAUCCCAUCUCAAAGGCCUAGAAAAUAUUUCUAAUAACAUUAUAGAAGAAAAUGUUCCUAACUUAAAGAUAGAGAUGUCUUUAAAGGUACAAGGAAUUUACAGUACAACAAAGAGUUUGGCCCAGAGAAGAAUGUCCCCAUGACACAUAAUAAUCAAAACACUAAACAUACAAAACAAGGAAAGAAUAUUAAAAGCUGCAAUGGGAAAAGGCCAAGUUAUAUAUACAGAGAGACAUAUUAGUCAGGAGUUCGGAAAGGAGGCUCUAAAUUUAGAAGCUCCUGGAAGGAUGUCUUGCAGUAUCUAAGAGACCAUGGAUGUCAUUCCAGCCUACUAUAUCCAGCAAAACUUUCAAUCACCAUAUAGGGACAAAACAAGAUAUUCCAUGACGAGGUCAAAUUUAACCAAUAUCUAUCCACAGACCCAGUCCUGCAGAAGGCACUAGAAGGUACACUCUACCCCAAAGGGAAUAAAUAAAUACAUGAAAUCAUAAGAAAUAAAUAAUUUCACACCAGCAAAACCAAAAGAUAAGCAACACGCACACGCACACACACACACACACACACACACACACACACACACACAUACACAUACACCACUACCUUUUCCACCACCAACAAAAUAGCAGGAAUUAACAAUUUUUGGUCAUUAAUGUCUCUCAAUAUUAAUGACCUAAUUCCCAGUAAAGUAACACAAGCUCAGAGAAUGGAUGCAAAACAGGAUCCAUUUUUGUGCUGCACACAACCAACACACCUCAACAUCAAAGAUACACAUUAUAUCAGACUAAAGUGUUGGAAAAAGAGUUUCCAAGCAAAUGGACCCAAAAAGCAAGCUGGUGUAGCUAUUCUAAUAUCCAACAAAAUAGAUUUCCAACCAAAAUUACUCAAAACACAUGAGGAAGGGCACUUCAUACUCAUCAAAGGGAAAAUCCACCAGAAUGACAUCUCAAUUCUCAACAUCUAUGUCCCAAAUGCAAGGGCACCAACGUUUGUGAAAGAAACUAUACAAAAGCUCAAAUCACAUAUGGACCCUCACACAUGAACAGAUGGAGACUUCAAUACCCAAUUCUCACCAAUGGGCAUGACAUCCAGACAAAAACAGAAAUAAUGGAGCCAAUAGAUGUUAUGAAUCAAACAUACCUAACAUAUACACAAAGAACAUGUCACCCAAACACAAAAGAACAUACCUUCUUCCCACCAUCUCAUAUACCCAGUCACAAAGCAAGUCUCAACAGAUAUAAGAAAACUGAGUCUCUAUCUUUUCAGGCCACCAUGAACAAGAGGUGAAUUUUAAUAACAGCAGAAAGCCUACAACCUCAUGGAAACUGAAAACUCUCUACUGAAUGACUGCUGGGUCAAGGCAGAAAUUAAGUAAGGAAUAGAAAGACUUCCUAGAAUUGAAUGAAAAUGAAUGCACAAAGUUGCUGGGACACAAUGAAACUGAUGGGACACAAUGAAAGCAACCCUAAGAAGAAAGUUCAUGGCACUAAGUGCCUUCAUAAAGAUAUUGGACAGAUCUCAUACUAGCAACAUAACAGCACAGUUGAAAGCUCCUAGAAUAAACCAAAGGAAACAUAUCCAAGAGUAGUAGAUGGCAGGAAAUAAUCAAACUCAGGGCUUGAGUCAAUGAAACAGAAGCCAAGAAACAAUACAAAGAAUUAAUGAAAUAAUUGAUUUUUGAGAAAAUCAAGAUAGAUAAACCCUUAUCCAAACUAAGGAAAAGACACAGAGAGAACAUCCAAACUAACAAAAUCAAAGGAAAAACAAAAUCAAAAGGAAAACAAAACAAACAAACAAACAAACAAGAGGACAUAACACUGGACUCCAAAAAAAAAUCUACCUAAUGGUCACACUUCAAACACUAGUACUUUAUAAAAUUGGAAAAUCCAAAAGAAACAGACAAUUUUCUUAAUAGAUACAACUCAUUGAACUUAUGCCAAAGUCAUAUAAAGAAUUUAAAUAGAUCUACAACCUCUAAGCAGUCAGUAAAAAACUACCAACCCAAAACAGCCUAGGGCCAAUGCCACUUCAGGGUGGAAAGAUCCUUCUGGGUCAGUCUGCUUAUGAGCAGAGCUCACUAAGAGGGCAAGGAAAAAGCUAAGACACUUAAACCAUCGCAUGUGUCUGAGAGAUGUCUUUCCAAGAUAGCAGAAGACUUUAAAAGCAAUACCUUAAAAACAAUUUCUAACAUAACAAAUGGCUCAAUGUUCAUGGUAGAUCCUGGUUUCAUGUUGUAUCUUUGUAUGUCUCAUCUAUCCUCUGACCCCUUACUUCUACACACCUGGAGGGAUGGUGGCUGCUUCUUGUCUUUUCACACCCGAAGACCCUUGGGUUUGCUCCAGAAAUGUUACCAAGUAUGGCUUAGCAACAGCAAGACCUGUUUGUAAAAAAAAGAGAUACAACACUGUUGUAGUGUCCUUCUCCUGGGAAUAGGUCAGUUCCAACUAGAAUACUGCUUAUGAGAAAGGAUAUGAUGCAAUGCAAGAAACUAUAAAAAUAUUAAUCCUUUAUAUGGUUCCUGAUAUACCUAUAUUAGGAUAUACAGUAUAUUAAAAUACUGUUGGGGGACUUAGAAUCUGCAGAUUCUGAUUUUCAUUUAAAGGGAAAACAUGAAUAAUUGAAUUGUGAAAUAUAUAAAUAAACUUUCUAAAAUUCCCAUUAGACUGGAGGAGAUAUAUUUCCAAUACAGGCAAGUUACAAACACAAAAAGAAAAGUAACAUGUUUCUUAGCUAUAUUGCAGUCUCUCCAUCUCAGUGAGCUAUUAUACCAAAGGAAGAAAUUACACUUGAUGGUGAAAAAGAAUUCUCUAUAGAUGGAAUGCUCACCCAAGAACACAAGGUUGCUGUAAUUUUCUAGCAUCACAUCCCUAUACAGACUCCACUGAGAAGGCCCCAGGUACUCCCUCUCUUCUGGAGAGAAAUCAACGGCCACAUCCCUGAAUGACAGCAUUUCCUGAAAUAAAGACCAAUGAAUGGUAAAACACUGUUAAUAGGUCAAAAUGAUUAAUAAUAAUAUAAAUACCAAUAGACUUCAAUGUCAUGAGCCAGGCUGAAGCUCACAAUUUUUAGACUGAAAAUUGGGAAAACACGAAUCACACAGGGUGGAGACCCUACAAUGUGGCAAUUACAGGUCCCUUAGUGACCCAAAACUCCUCAAUUCCGUCUUUUAGUGUUUAUGACAUAGUGUCAGUAUUGAAGAAACACUUCCAUAAGACUGUACAGGGACAUCACAGAUGCUGCCUGCCAUACUUAGCAGCUGAAUCGGUUGAACAGAAAUACCAGACUAUACAGAGGCCUGGGAGACAAGGCUGUGAAUGGAGAGCGAUGCACACAGCCUGUCAGGUCAGCAGGACUGUGUUCCCUCCACAGACCUUCAAGACCCCUCAAGUCACUAAAAUCCCUAAAAGUCCACAUCUGUCCUCACACCAACUUGUGUCUCCAUCCCGACAGGGAUUCACACUGUCCACAUCAUGUUCUCUGAUGGAACAUGGAGAGUUGUUGGUAGUUUCUAUUAUUUUUCACUCAGCACUGUAGGGUCAAUGUUGUUGGGACAGUCAAUACAAAGCUCACAGUGUCCUGUGACAGCUUUGCUCUGCCUCCCUAUGUGAGCUUGUGUGAGAAUUCGGCUCACAGUGGUAGAUAUUUUGUUAUGAUGUUGAAAAUCAAAAGCUAACAUUCAGAUGUUGAAGGAAAAAAAUUUUUUUUCCACAGGAGGGCCAGAGUUACAGUCUCUCAGACAGGAGAGACUGAAGAAGCCACAAUAUCCGGAAGCACAGAGAAUUUAUUAGGUAACAUAGAUGUUUAGUUCAACAGUAGGAUAGCCAAUCAGGACAGACAGCUCGUUCACAAAAAUCCAGAAAUCAGAACUGUACAUUUGCAGAAGAAUAUGAUCAAGGGUUAGCCAACUGAAACAGGCAGAAUGUGUGCAAUCUUACAAUGAGGGCACCUCUGGUGUCAUUGUUAACACCUUGUGACAGGUUUUACAAUCCUAUGUUUGACAACCUCUAAGCUUACAACCUCCGAGGCAAAAGUUUUUUAUCUCUUGAUAAUUAAUCCUGCAUUGAGAAACAGCUCAAUAUCCUUUUAGCAAACAUGGGUGUCAUGCUACUUUCAAGUAAGGAACUAGGGGUUGGGGAUUUAGCUCAGUGGUAGAGCGCUUGCCUAGCAAACCCAAGGUCCUGGGUUUGGUCCCCAGCUCCGAAAAAAAAAAAGAAAAAAAAAAAAAAGUAAGGAACUAAAGUCUUCAUGAGGGAUUCCUAUUCCAAAUGAACCAUCUUUAAGUUCACAAUUCAUUUCAAAGAAAGUAGGAUAAACAUCACGUACAGAGUCCCCUUCAGGACUCUGAACCUGGAACCUACCAAGUCCUGUCACCUCAAAGCAGGAGUAUGUGCAAUGGUUAAAAACCAGCUCGGUUUCCAACUGAGCAUUGGUUGUACAACACAGCAACAAAAACAAACAGCAAACAAUAUUAGCGGGACAUGCAUUUCUACUUCUUCUGUAAUCUCUCUUAACUGCUGCUUGCUCAGAAAACAAACAAAAAAUAUAAAGAAGCAAAAAAUCCCGAGUUGAGACAGUUGUGUUUUGUGACUUGAAGAAUUCCAACCCCUGUCUUCCCUUGCAGCAGUUCUCAAACUGGCAAAGGAGGUUGUAGCUCCAAAUAAGGCAGUUUUGUUUGUUUGUUUGUUUGGUUGGUUGGUUGGUUUUCCCUUUUAAUUCCUAGUUUUGUUUGGUGAUCUUUCUCAGUGGUCCUGAAUUCCGUACAGUACAGAAAGGACCAGAUCUUCUCUUAUCUUAUCUUCUCUUAUCUAUCUGAGAAAAAGAGUAACAGCCACGUGAGAGUGACCCAGCUAAUGAACAAAUGCUUCCACCAGCAAGCUGGAAAAUGAACGCCCAGAAGCUCCAUGCCCAGGCAAAGACCUUCACCCAACCCGCAGCAUUGCCGGGGAAUCCAGGUCCUUACAAGCGUCUCCAUUCCUUGAAUUCUGUCAGCUAGCUACAGUCUACCACAGAGACCUACGCACCCCUCACAGCCCCUGGGAUAACUGAACCCUGGACCAACCUCCAUGUCAGAGAUCCAACGGGAGAGCACAGCAGGACCAGAGCCUGGCCCAGUUUUGGCAAAGAGCCGCACAUGCUUAUUAAAAGCUGAACUCUUGUUUAC